rnacentral:lncRNA from 1 species
AGAAGCCUAGAGAAAGGCAUGACGGCUUCCAAUAAAAGAAACUCGGCCAAGAGUCAAACCCAGUGCUAUGAGCGAGUUGAUGAGCAAACUGUUGCACAGUACAUUCUUAGAAGAUGACAAGGAAGACCUAUUUAAUGAGUAAAAGCUGAAAAAGUUAGCCCAGUUCCUUUUCCCAGCUCCUGUAAUACUAAAGUCAAGACAGAUAGGUGCCCAAUGAUCUCAUCCAGAUAUUAUCUCAUGCUAACACCCUCAAAAGAGGAGUAGGGGUCAGAGGUCAAAUGACCCAUCCUUUUGUCUGGAUAUUAUUUAUACAGUAUUGUUGCCAUUUAUAUGUCAGGGGUCUCAGCUCUCUUUGUUGGAAGAA